rnacentral:rRNA from 1 species
AAGGGAAUCUUCCGCAAUGGACGCAAGUCUGACGGAGCAACGCCGCGUGAGUGAAGAAGGAUUUCGGUUCGUAAAACUCUGUUGUUAGAGAAGAACAGCGCAUAGAGUAACUGUUAUGCGUGUGACGGUAUCUAACCAGAAAGCCACGGCUAACUACGUGCCAGCAGCCGCGGUAAUACGUAGGUGGCAAGCGUUGUCCGGAUUUAUUGGGCGUAAAGCGAGCGCAGGCGGUCAAUUAAGUCUGAUGUGAAAGCCCCCGGCUCAACCGGGGAGGGUCAUUGGAAACUGGUUGACUUGAGUGCAGAAGAGGAGAGUGGAAUUCCAUGUGUAGCGGUGAAAUGCGUAGAUAUAUGGAGGAACACCAGUGGCGAAGGCGACUCUCUGGUCUGUAACUGACGCUGAGGCUCGAAAGCGUGGGUAGCAAACAGG